rnacentral:lncRNA from 1 species
GCUUGGAGCCGCAGGGCUUAAUCCCGCGCGGCUCAGAGAUGGGUUUCUGGACUCGCGAAGCAGCUGCAACAAGGCAUCACUCACUGUAUAAGUACUUCCAUUUCUGAGAGCAAAAGGAAGAACUUAAGCGGGCGGCACUUGGAGUGUAAAUUGCUUUGUAGUAUUUAAAGGCAGAAUGGAUCCUGGGCAGCCGAGCUGCAACAAACUGGCAGGACUUCCUGUGAAAUCAUGACCACCAUGUGCUCUUUCAGCCUCCAUCAAUUCCUACCUCUAAGCACCUGAGAGCCAAAGCAAACCACAGGAAACCACAGACUCAAACUAAACAUCAGCUUUUCCCGGCUCUCAAGCCUGCUGGUCCCUGAACUAAAACUCACAUUAUCAACUCUACUGGUUCUUAGGCCUUUGGAGUCAGACUGGAACUACAGCAUUGACUCUUCCGGAACUCCAGGUUACUGAUUACAGAUCUUGGAACUUUUCAGCUUCCACAACCAUAAUGAAAGCCAAGCAUAUUCCAUCAUUUCCUAAAACCAAGAUAGAGCACAUACGGGAACUUGCGAAAUAAG